rnacentral:rRNA from 1 species
UACGUAGGGAGCAAGCGUUGUCCGGAAUCAUUGGGCGUAAAGCGCGCGUAGGCGGCCCCGUAAGUCCGCUGUGAAAGUCAAAGGCUCAACCUUUGAAAGCCGGUGGAUACUGUGGGGCUAGAGUACGGAAGAGGCGAGUGGAAUUCCUGGUGUAGCGGUGGAAUGCGCAGAUAUCAGGAGGAACACCGGUGGCGAAGGCGGGUCUCUGGGCCGAUACUGACGCUGAGGAGCGAAAGCGUGGGGAGCGAACAGG